UACGUAGGUGGCAAGCGUUAUCCGGAUUUACUGGGCGUAAAGGGCGUGUAGGCGGGAAAGCAAGUCAGAUGUGAAAACCAUGGGCUCAACCUGUGGCCUGCAUUUGAAACUGUUUUUCUUGAGUACUGGAGAGGCAGACGGAAUUCCUAGUGUAGCGGUGAAAUGCGUAGAUAUUAGGAGGAACACCAGUGGCGAAGGCGGUCUGCUGGACAGCAACUGACGCUGAGGCGCGAAAGCGUGGGGAGCAAACAGG
rnacentral:rRNA from 1 species